rnacentral:lncRNA from 1 species
UAAAUUUUCAUUGAACCCCUUUCAUUCAUUUUUAUUUAAACUUUACCUCAUAAAUACUAAAUUAAUUUCUAUUGCAUCCAUAUAAAUAUUAUAAUUAGCACCUUAUACUAUUUGUUAUUUAUACAUUUUUCUUCUAUAUUACACAUUUAUCACAAUACCCCUCUCUUUAUCACAAAUACCGGCGAACCCGACCCGGAUUUCGUUUCCAUUUCCGUCCACGCCACCGGCCAAGGUUGGUACCGAUCGGAAGAUCGUGCGACGCCGGUCAUCUCCACGCCAUCCUUGUCACAAAAAUUACUGGGUCAACCCGACCCGCGAACCCGACCCGAAUUUUGUUUCCGUUUCCGGCAACUCCACCGGCCAAGGUUGGUACCGAUCGGAAGCUCGUGCGACGCCGGUCAUCUCCAUGUCAUCCUUGUCGCCGUAAAGCAUUCGGAAAGCUGCCGAUCGAAGCCGUGAAAAGUCACAGAAUCCCCGCUUCAAUUCGCCGUUGUUUCUCCAGUUUCCGGUGACGCCACCACUUGAGUUUUGUUCUCCACAAUUCCCUCUGUCUUUUCUGACCAACCACAGCCACCGGAGGAGCCGAUUUGCCGUUGAUCGGCCGUUGAAGGAUUCACGGGUUUGGGAGAAAUGAACUUAAUAUUUUUGAAGCAAAGUUCAAAUAAGAAUAAGUGAAAGGGCUUCAUGAAAUUUUACACAGAAAAGACAAAAGCAGUGGCAUGGUGCCACUGUUGCACGAUAGGCGAGUCCAUUAAAAUGACCAUGUUCUUUUUUUAUAAUAAUUUCAAAUUUGAUCAUGCAAUGGUGGCCAUGGUUAUCUUGGAGUUAUUAUAAGUUAUUAUAAGAUGGAGCACAAAUUAUAAUCAUAUUAGUAACACAUAAUUUUGAUUGUGUGAUUAUGAAGGCAUACUCUACCUUAGAGCGGUUUCAAUAUAGUCGAACCCUACAAUGAUACUUAUUAUGAUGAACAAUUCAAAAAAAAAAGGAAAAAGGAAAAGGCAUACACGCACUCCAAGAAACUUGACAUUAAAAUGGGAUCCAGCUACGGUACCACCGUGGUACCCGUACCACUGGUUUUAUCUUUUGUCCCAGCAGUGUUGUAAAAUUUCAUUGAACCCCUUUCAUUCAUUUUUAUUUAAACUUUACCUCAUAAAUACUAAAUUAAUUUCUAUUGCAUCCAUAUAAAUAUUAUAAUUAGCACCUUAUACUAUUUGUUAUUUAUACAUUUUUCUUCUAUAUUACACAUUUAUCACAAUACCCCUCUCUUUAUCACAAAUACCGGCGAACUCGACCCGAAUUUCGUUUCCAUUUCCGUCCACACCACCGGCCAAGGUUGGUACCGAUUGGAAGAUCGUGCGACGCCGGUCAUCUCCACGCCAUCCUUGUCACAAAAAUUACUGGGUCAACCCGACCCGCGAACCCGACCCGAAUUUUGUUUCCGUUUCCGGCAACUCCACCGGCCAAGGUUGGUACCGAUCGGAAGCUCGUGCGACGCCGGUCAUCUCCAUGUCAUCCUUGUCGCCGUAAAGCAUUCGGAAAGCUGCCGAUCGAAGCCGUGAAAAGUCACAGAAUCCCCGCUUCAAUUCGCCGUUGUUUCUCCAGUUUCCGGUGACGCCACCACUUGAGUUUUGUUCUCCACAAUUCCCUCUGUCUUUUCUGACCAACCACAGCCACCGGAGGAGCCGAUUUGCCGUUGAUCGGCCGUUGAAGGAUUCACGGGUUUAGGAGAAAUGAACUUAAUAUUUUUGAAGCAAAGUUUAAAUAAGAAUAAGUAAAAGAGCUUCAUGAAAUUUUACACAGAAAAGACAAAAGCAGUGGCAUGGUGCCACUGUUGCACGAUAGGCGAGUCCAGCUAUGACGACACAUUAACCUUUAUGUGUUUAAUUUAAAAUUGAUCAAUUAUGAAAUGGAAAAAAAAAAAUACAGCAGCCUCGCAAACUGCAAUGGUGUUGUGUUUGCUUGAGAGUUUAGGGAAUAGGUAUGAAGGAAUGAGAAUGAAACUCAUCUUUAUUUGGGAAAAUAUAAUUUGAAAAUGAGAAUAAAAUAUGUAGAUCCCACACAAUUUGAAAAUAAGAAAUGAGAAUCUCAUUCCCAGAGGGGGAUUGAGAACGAAGAUUCUCAUUUCCUGAAUUGACUUUUGUAUCCCUUUAAUUUUUUCAUAUUUUUCAAAUUAUCCUCGUUCAAAUUAUUUUUACUAUUAUUAUUAUUAUUAUUAUUAUUAUUAUUUUCAUCAAAAUUUAUUUA